CCUGGUAGCGGGGGGUAACUAAUUGGAAACGAUAGCUAAUACCGCAUAAUAAUUUGAUUAUUUGCAUGAUAAUUGAUUGAAAGAUGCUAUUGCAUCACUACCAGAUGGACCUGCGUUGUAUUAGCUAGUAGGUGAGGUAACGGCUCACCUAGGCGACGAUACAUAGCCGACCUGAGAGGGUGAUCGGCCACACUGGGACUGAGACACGGCCCAG
rnacentral:rRNA from 1 species